rnacentral:rRNA from 1 species
UACGUAGGGUCCGAGCGUUGUCCGGAAUUAUUGGGCGUAAAGGGCUCGUAGGCGGUCCGUCGCGUCGGGAGUGAAAACUCGGAGCUUAACUCCGAGCCUGCUUCCGAUACGGGCAGACUAGAGGUAGGCAGGGGAGAGCGGAAUUCCUGGUGUAGCGGUGAAAUGCGCAGAUAUCAGGAAGAACACCCGUGGCUAAGGCGGUUCUCUAGUACGGUACUGACGCUGAGACGCGAAAGCGUGGGGAGCGAACAGG